rfam:Fusobacterium varium ATCC 27725 genomic scaffold supercont2.7, whole genome shotgun sequence.
UAUAAAAAUAGAGGUGCAUUUAUGGAGGUAGUAUGGAGAUGCUAAGAGAAAAAGCUCUCAAUGCUUCAUGCGAAGGACGUAGUUGCCGAAAGAGGAAAGAUUGCUUAUGGUCUUUUUUCUUGGGGGUUGCAGAAAUAUGCAACAACUGUCACAUUUAUUGUGGAGAGCUAUUUUGGGU